rnacentral:lncRNA from 1 species
CGGAGGACAGCAUCCUGACGGCUAAGCCCCCACGGAGACAAGCAGAGCUCUGCAAAGGCAGGACCAUCAGCUACAGAGCAAGGAGGAGCUGAAAAGCUUUGGUAAGAGAGGGACACUGAGGUGAGCUAGCGCCAGUGGUCCAGCAGGAGCAUCACAAACCUAGUCACUUUCUGCAUCUUCUCACGGGAUGGCCACAUUAAUUUUGGCUUCCCUUAUGAAAGCGAGCUGGCUUUCAAAAGUUUCCAUGGUUAUGUUUCCUCCAAAAACAUCAGUAGCUUCACAUACUUUCCUUUGUUUCCCAACAAGAGCCAGACUGAUUUUUCAAAGAUGCAAAAUCGCUCUCAUAACUCUCAUCCCCCAAGUCCUCUGUGAGUCGUCCCUAAGUGCCCUGGGAAUGAAAUGCAAGGGCCCCUCCCACAUACACUCCAGUGCUUUCCAUCCUAACAAUUAAAACCCAGGAAAGUCUAUACCGCUGGUAAAUGAUUGCGAUUGCCUCUGCUGUUAACAGAAGUGAUCUGCUCUGCGGGAGAGUGGUAGGGAGGCAGAAGGCAGGACAGGAAGGAGCGCUGGGGGUGGGAGGGGAGGAAACCUUAUGGGUUCAGCGGUUGCUUUUACGUACGCUGGUAAAAAUGGGGACAUGGCACCCUCUGGUGGACAAAGGAGAGAACUGCGGUAACCCUGUGCAUCGUGACUCCCCUCACACACACACACUCUAAAAUCCCAGAGGUCAAAGGUAAUAAUGAUCCCAGAAUUCUGAAGCUUCCAGGCAGCCAGGGUAAUUGUGUGAAAUAUAACAUUUCUUUUAUUAGUAGUCCCUGGUUUUGUUUUGUUUUUUAGUUGUAUCUUUUCUCAACCACUAAGAUCUGUGAAGAUAGAAACCUCUCUUGUUCACAGCCCUUGUUCCUUUAACAGGUGGUUGGAGCACAGAAUAGAUGCUCAGUAAAUGAUACGGGAUGUUAUUCACUGUCUUCAGCUCAAACCUGAGAUGAUGUGCUGGCGCAGUGGUGGCGCACGCCCUUAAUCUCAGCACUUGGGAGGCAGAGACAGGCGGAUUUCUGAGUUCGAGGCCAGCGUGGUCUACAGAGUGAGUUCCAGGACGGUCAGAGCUACACAGAGAAACCCUGUCUUGAAAAAAAAAAAAAAAGAACCCAGAGGAUGUGUGUGCCCCCACUUUGGAUCGGACCCAAGACCCUAAGACCCAAGACCCAACAUGGAGUUAGCAGCUGCUAGCCUCCUUCCAGAGCCUGUACAAGCUGCUUCCCUGAAGUAGUAAGCAAGGGGGGUCAGAUGAAACCCGAAAGCUCCCUGUCUCUGGGUAUGAAGAGAGCAGGGGCACAAUUGGUGGGGUACCCAAAGAUUCCCCCCACGGUGGGACAAGAGGAAUGGGGAUUCGAACAGAAGGAAGCAGGUGGGCUGUAAGUUAGGAAGCUGGAAUAUUUUAGGUUGUCUUUGUUUUUAAAGCAUUGAUGUGUGUGAGUGUUUUGCCUGUAGGUGUGUAGGUGUGCCACACUGGUGCAUGCCUGGUGCCCAGGAGUUGAGGAGGAGAGGCUCCCCUGCAUUAACUAGGAUUACAGAUGAUUGUAGACUGCCGUGUGGGUACUGGGAAUCAAACCUGCGUUCUCUGCAAAGGCAAAAAGUGCUCAUACCUGCUCAGCCAUCUCUCAAUGGGCCAAAUUUUUAACCCACAAAAACUUCAACCCCACCAGGUCGUUCAUCCUUAAAGCAGGGGAGGGUAGGAAAGCUUUUAAACAGAGAUGCCUGCAUCUUGAAGGUAAGGGUAAAAACAGCCCUAGGAAGUACCUGUGUGGUACACAGGUUGGGCAAGGAGCAAGUUCCUUCUCUCAAUAAAGAAGAAGGAAAGCCUACUAUUAAGUAAGUCUCCCAGAUGUUGGGAAAGGUGCCUGAUACCCUACACUCCUCCUUCCUGUGCCGACUCCCAAGAGAGCUGUGGUCUGCUGCACAAGAAAUUCAUUGUGUGUUUUUGUUGGAGACAGGGUCUCUUGUAACCCAGACUAGCCUCAAACUCCCUCUACACAGCCAAAGAUGACCUUGAACGUGUGAACCUCCUGUGGCUUUAUAAUUACAGGCACGGACCAAAUUACCUGGUUUAUGUGGUGUUGGAUCUAAUGUGGAAAUGUCCUCCUACUUUUGCAAAAGCCUGGCAGUGCCCAUGUGAAACCAGAUGCACUACCACUGAGCCACACGCCCAGCCCCUCACUGGGGGAUUCUAGGCAGGGGCUCUACCACUGAGCCACACCCCCAGCCCCUCACUGGGGGAUUCUAGGCAGGGGCUCUACCACUGAGCCACGCCCCCAGCCCCUCCUUGGGGGAUUCUAGGCAGGGGCUCUACCACUGAGCCACACCCCCAGCCCCUCACUGGGGGAUUCUAGGCAGGGGCUCUACCACUGAGCCACGCCCCCAGCCCCUCACUGGGGGAUUCUAGGCAGGGGCUCUACCACUGAGCCAUAUCCCAGAGGCAGGAAGACAAGGAAAUGCAGAAGGAAGAGGAAAGAAAAGAAGUUGGGGAAGAAAACGGAAAGCCGAGACAGCACAACUGGCUGUGCAAGCAUAGGACCUGAGCUCUCGCUCCCCUUUCCUGUUUGAGGUAGGUCUUCUAAUGUUUCUCAGGUUACUCUUUAACUCAAGAUCCUCCACACCCAGUCUCAUGAGUAUCUGGGAUUACAAGUGUGCACUGCCAUGCCUGGCCACUGGAGCGUUAGUAAUGAUACUGAAGAAUACAGGCUUGUGAGGUCAGAAAAUACAUAUUAAAUGCCUAUCAUUACACUGCAUUCCCCAAUUUUUCUCUCCACUUGGAAUGUGUUGAAGCCACCUCUGCUCUGCACUCGAUGGGGGCAUCACUCACUUCUUCUUCCUUUUUCUUUCUUUUUUUUUUUUUUUUUUUUUUGAGGAGCAAAGACAAGAGGGUUCAUGAUGUAGCCCAGGCUGACAUCAAAACUUACUAGUCAGUGAGGAUGCUCUUGAAUCCCUCCCUGGUAUCCCUACAGACAGCUUUAGGCAAAGUUUUUAUAUUGAAAUAUUUUCUAUUAUGGUUGAGGCUCCGAGGUCAAUACCCAGAACCAUAAAAGCGUAUCAAAAACUAAAACAUUUCUAUUGUGGUGGCCUGACCUGGGUUUCAGUCUUAGCACCUACAGCUGGUGGCCCAGAACCCUCUGUAACUUCUGCCCAGGGAUCAAUGCUCUGGCCUCAGUGGGUAUCCACAUUUAUACGCACGGUUAUAGUUAGGGUUUUAUUGCUGUGAACAGACACCAUGACCAAGUCAACUCUUAUAAAAACAACUUUUAGUUGGAGUUGGCUUACAAGUUCAGAGGUUCAGUCCAUUAUCAUCAAGGCAGGAACAUGGCAGCAUCCAGGUAGGCAUAGUGCAGGGAGAGCUGAGAGUUCUACAUUUUCAUCUGAAGGCUGCUAGCAGAAUACUGGCUUCCAGGCAGUUAGCAUGAGGGUCUUAAAGCUCACACCCAGAGUGACACACCUACUCCAACAGGGACACACUCUCUAAUAGGGCCACUCCCUGGGCUGAGCAUAUACAAACCAUCACACGCACAUACCCACAAACAGAAAUGCACACAAACUGGCACAUAUACAUAAUCAUGAUGUUUUUUAAUUAGUAGGUAGAGUGGUGUACACCUUUAAUCCCACCUUGAUAACUGUGAGUUCAGGCCAGCCUGGUCUACAUAGGGUGUACCAGGACAUCCAGGGCUACAUAGAGAGACCCUGUCUCAGUUUUUUGUUGUUGUUUUAAUUAGUUGGUUGGUUAGUUUGAAACCAGCCUGGUCUACAUAGGCAGUCCCAGGCUAGUCAGGACAACAUAAUGACACCCUA